rnacentral:misc_RNA from 1 species
GCCUGAUGUCAUUGCCUAUACAACAAUGCUAAAUGCAUAUAGUGUUGGAGAGAAUUGGGAGAAAGCUUUUGCAGUAUUUCAAGAAAUGGAAUUGAAUGGGGUUCUCCCUGAUGCUAUUGCUUGUUCAGCUCUCAUGAGGUCUUUUAAUAGAGGAUGUCAACCUGACAAAGUUUUGCUUGUGGCGGAUUUUAUGAGAGAGAGAAAUAUCCCAUUCACCGAGGCUGUUUUGUUUGAAUUGGUCUCAG